rnacentral:rRNA from 1 species
GACGGAGGAUGCAAGUGUUAUCCGGAAUCACUGGGCGUAAAGCGUCUGUAGGUGGUUUAAUAAGUCAACUGUUAAAUCUUGAGGCUCAACCUCAAAAUCGCAGUCGAAACUAUUAGGCUAGAGUAUAGUAGGGGUAAAGGGAAUUUCCAGUGGAGCGGUGAAAUGCGUAGAUAUCGAGAGGAACACCUGCGGCGAAGGCGGGUUGCUGGGCUGACACUGACGCUGAGGCGCGAAGCUAGGGGAGCGAACGGG